GGGGAAUAUUGGACAAUGGGCGCAAGCCUGAUCCAGCCAUGCCGCGUGAGUGAUGAAGGCCCUAGGGUUGUAAAGCUCUUUCACCGGUGAAGAUAAUGACGGUAACCGGAGAAGAAGCCCCGGCUAACUUCGUGCCAGCAGCCGCGGUAAUACGAAGGGGGCUAGCGUUGUUCGGAAUUACUGUGCGUAAAGCGCACGUAGGCGGACAUUUAAGUCAGGGGUGAAAUCCCGGGGCUCAACCCCGGAACUGCCUUUGAUACUGGGUGUCUGGAGUCCGGAAGAGGUGAGUGGAAUUCCGAGUGUAGAGGUGAAAUUCGUAGAUAUUCGGAGGAACACCAGUGGCGAAGGCGGCUCACUGGUCCGGUACUGACGCUGAGGUGCGAAAGCGUGGGGAGCAAAC
rnacentral:rRNA from 1 species